rnacentral:rRNA from 1 species
CACGAACCGUGCGAACGUUAUUCGGAAUUACUGGGCUUAAAGAGUUCGUAGGCGGCGUGUUAAGUUGGGUGUGAAAUCCCUUGGCUCAACCAAGGAAUUGCGCUCAAAACUAGCAUGCUUGAGGAAGACAGGGGUAAGUGGAACUGAUGGUGGAGCGGUGAAAUGCGUAGAUAUCAUCAGGAACACCGGUGGCGAAGGCGGCUUACUGGGUCUUAUCUGACGCUGAUGCACGAAAGCCAGGGUAGCGAACGGG